rnacentral:rRNA from 1 species
ACUCCUACGGAAGACAGCAGUNAGGAAUAUUGGGCAAUGGAGCCAACUCUGACCCAGCCAUGCCGCGUGCAGAAACACUGCCCUAUGGGUUGUAAACUGCUUUUAUACAGGAAGAAACAGCUCUACGUGUAGAGUCCUUGACGGUACUGUAAGAAUAAGCAUCGGGCUAACUCC